UAAACAGCGAGCAUACGAAUAAGCAGCCGCGAACUGUUUAGGGCCGCCGCCCGGUAUUCAGCACAAGAGCAUAUAUUAAAGUUGUAGCAGUUAAAAAGCUCGUAGUUGAAUAUCAGGUAUAACGUACCAGGCCCGCAGCCUUUAGGCUUGUGUGUGCCGGCGCACGUUUGCCAUCUUUCUAGAAAACGGGUCUGCCAUUAACUUGGUGGGUUCGGGAUCUAGAUCAUUUACUUUGAAAAAAUUAGAGUGUUUAAAGCAAGCAAUUGCUCUGAAUACAUUAGCAUGGAAUAAUAAUCUAGGACUUCGGUUCUAUUUUGUUGGUUUCUAAAACUGAAGUAAUGAUUGAUAGGGACAGUUGGGGGUGCUAGUAUUGGCCGGCCAGAGGUGAAAUUCUUGGAUUCGGUCAAGACUAACUUAUGCGAAAGCAUUCACCAAGGAUGUCUUCUUUAAUCAAGAACGAAAGUUGGGGGAUCGAAGACGAUCAGAUACCGUCGUAGUCUCAACCAUAAACUAUGCCAACUAGGGAUGGGUGAACGUUGCUUUUUCGACUUCAUCCGCACCUUAUGAGAAAUCAAAGUCUUUGGGUUCCGGGGGGAGUAUGGUCGCAAGGCUGAAACUUAAAGGAAUUGACGGAAGGGCACCACCAGGAGUGGAGCCUGCGGCUUAAUUUGACUCAACACGGGAAAACUUACCAGGUCCGGACAUAGUGAGGAUUGACAGAUUGAAGAUCUUUCUUGAUUCUAUGGGGUGGUGGUGCAUGGCCGUUCUUAGUUGGUGGAGUGAUUUGUCUGGUUAAUUCCCGUUAACGAACGAGACCUCGACCUGCUAAAUAGUUGACUGAAUCUUUUUUGGGUUGGGAAUUGACUUCAUAGAGGGACUUUUUUUGUGGUCAGCAAAAGGAAGUGCGAGGCAAUAACAGGUCCUGUUGAUGCCCUUAGAUGUGUGGUCGCACGCUGCUUACCUGAAUCGAUUCAUCGAAGCCAUUACACAUUCUUGUGAACCG
rnacentral:rRNA from 1 species